rnacentral:lncRNA from 1 species
UACAAAGACAGAAAAUAAAAACUGAUUAACUUACAUGAACCAAUUAACUAUUUGAGCUUAAUUGAAUACAUAAGCUUAAUUGCAUUAUAUUUGGAAUGCAUUCUACUUGAAGAGCUUUGUCUUUAAUAUUGUGUAUCAUACCAAAAUUAUAUCCAAUACAAACCAAAUAUUUAUAAUGUUCAAAUUGAGAAGAAAAAUAAUCAAUUGUUGCUAAGGCACUCCAUGAAAGUAUCAUUUCA